ACGGGGGAUGCAAGCGUUAUCCGGAAUUAUUGGGCGUAAAGCGUCCGUAGGCGGCCAAGCAAGUUUGUUGUUAAAGCGUGCAGCUCAACUGCAUAUCGGCAAUGAAAACUGCUUGGCUAGAGUGUGGUAGGGGUAGAGGGAAUUCCCGGUGUAGCGGUGAAAUGCGUAGAUAUCGGGAAGAACACCAGUGGCGAAAGCGCUCUGCUGGGCCACAACUGACGCUGAUGGACGAAAGCUAGGGGAGCGAAAGGG
rnacentral:rRNA from 1 species